rnacentral:rRNA from 1 species
ACGUAAGAAUCUGCCUCUAGGACGGGGACAACAGUUGGAAACGGCUGCUAAACCCCGAUGAGCCGAAGGGUGAAAGAUUAAUCGCCUAGAGAGGAGCUUGCGUCUGAUUAGCUAGUUGGUGGGGUAAGAGCCCACCAAGGCUACGAUCAGUAGCUGGUCUGAGAGGAUGAUCAGCCACACUGGGACUGAGACACGGCCCAGACUCCUACGGGAGGCAGCAGUGGGGAAUUUUCCGCAAUGGGCGAAAGCUGACGGAGCAAGACCGCGUGGGGGAGGAAGGUUCUUGGGUUGUAAACCCCUUUUCUCAGGGAAGAAGAACUGACGGUACCUGAGGAAUAAGCAUCGGCUAACUCCGUGCCAGCAGCCGCGGUAAUACGGAGGAUGCAAGCGUUAUCCGGAAUUAUUGGGCGUAAAGCGUUCCGUAGGUGGUCAUCCAAGUCUGCUGUUAAAGACCGGGGCUUAACCCCGGAAAGGCUGUGGAAACUGAACAGCUAGAGUAUGGUAGGGGUAGGGGGAAUUCCUGGUGUAGCGGUGAAAUGCGUAGAUAUCAGGAAGAACACCGGUGGCGAAGGCGCCUUACUGGGCCAUAACUGACACUGAGGGACGAAAGCUAGGGGAGCGAAU